AGAAAAGAAAAAAAGAAUCUCCAAACACUUUUUGGAGGAGCGUAAAGAGUUUAAUCUGGGGUGACAGAAUGGGCACUCUCUGCAGUCCCUCUCUUCUUGUUUCCAUUUACUUCAUUAAGAAUUGAACAUAUUUCAGCCAUGUGUGAACUUGGCACAUUCAAGAUUCCUGCUAAAAGUCAGAAUUCCUUUGACAUCCUACCACACCCUCUAGAGAAAUUUCUAAAGACUUCCUUCCAGCUGUCACCAAAAAUGAUAAAAGGCCAUUUACAGACAGAGUCGUUUUGACUGCCCCUGCCUAAGUGUACAACAGGUAGAAAUGUGUUUAUGGCCAUUUCUGGGGCAGUAAAAUAUUGGCAAUAGUAACCUUUCAUAAGUUCUUGCCUAAAGGAUGGAAGAGGCCGGGGCUGUGUCCUGACAACAUUCUUCUACUGAUGAAAUGCUGCCGCUUGAGAGUGCAGCUGAGGUUAUCCAUUUCUCAUAAAGUCAAGAUCAGUUUGUUCCAAGCCUUUCAAACUGAAGCGCUGCUGUUCCCUGCAUCAGGAGAGUGGCAUUAAGAGGAAGCCAGAGAAUCGCAGGGAUUGCUUCUUCAUCCAGCGCUAGAACUGAGACGGCUCCUCGCCUCCUGAAAAGCAAUGCGGCCGACUCGAUGUGGAAAACUCUAGGGAAAUUCACUAUCACCCACAGGAAACAAAGACCGCUGUAACAAUGGAGCUUUUCCAAGGCCAGUGAUAAGAUCUUCCUUCCGUGUCUGGAACUAUACUCUGAAGCGCUAGACUCUUAAUCAGCGCAAAGAGGAAACCAAGCCUUCCUUCCCAGGUUGACGGCUUCCACAGACUGCGAAGCUGCCUUUUACAAAGCACGCUGGAUGCUGUCAGCCUAAGAACCAUUUUCUGUUUAAUUCCCCUGGGCAUUAGACUAAACAAAGCACUGUGUUUCCAUUUUAAUAUGCGGACCCUUAAAAGACAUUCUUCUCUAUAUGAUAAUGAUAAAGCAGCCUAGGUUAUGCUUAUUCAGCCUGUUCCAUCACUAUCAUGAUUAUUUAUAUUAAAUUAGAAACAUAAGUUCAUAAGGUAACGAGUGUGGGUUGGGUUGAGAUGGGGCAGGAGUUGCCUUUGAUGAAUGAAAUCUUUUAAUUUUAGAUAAAGGAAGUUACCCUGGUGUAUCCCUGCUUAGUGAUAAUAAGAAUAUUUUAUUUGAUCCGUUCAGUAAACCUCAGAAAGGUAGGUUCUGAAGAUAUGACAGGGGUACAGAUGGAGGCCUGGGGUCUCUGACUCUGAUGUGUAAACAAGCUGUCUGAAGUCUUUCCAUGGUUUAAACCCUGGGUUGCAAAACGAGAUCCAUUAAGAAAUUGAAGGUGGGAUAUUGGCUGGGUGUGAAUCAUCCCCUGGUAAAGCCCUGAGGUUCCAGAAGAUGCUACAUUACAAGACUUCUAAAAACACCGAGGGGACCGACUACAGAGCUUUGUUUUAAAAUAAAAUGGUUACCUUGGAAGACUGGGAAAACUUAAAGGUGCGGGCUUGCAAGCUCUUGCUUGCAUCUUACAGGCUUCAACACAGGGAAUUCUGUUGCAACAGUGGUGUUGACAGAGCCAGCAUGUUUCCUUGAAACGAGAAGCCCCAAUUAAGAUGAGGCCCUCAAAUGUUUUCCACUGACUCCUCCUUCUUUUCUCUGCCUUUUUUGUCUCGGUUUUUGAGACAGGGUCUUGCUCUGUCGCCCA